UGAUGAAGAAGCUUGCUUCUUCUGAUUUUAGCGGCGGACGGGUGAGUAACACGUGGGCAACCUACCUUGUAGAUUGGGAUAACUCCGGGAAACCGGGGCUAAUACCGAAUAAUCCAUUUUGCUUCAUGGCAAGAUGUUGAAAGGCGGCUUCGGCUGUCACUACGAGAUGGGCCCGCGGCGUAUUAGCUAGUUGGUAGGGUAAUGGCCUACCAAGGCGACGAUACGUAGCCGACCUGAGAGGGUGAUCGGCCACACUGGGACUGAGACACGGCCCAGACUCCUACGGGAGGCAGCAGUAGGGAAUCUUCCACAAUGGACGAAAGUCUGAUGGAGCAACGCCGCGUGAGUGAAGAAGGUUUUCGGA
rnacentral:rRNA from 1 species